ACAUGCCUACAACAUAGCGUUAAUGCACUGGAUCCUAUUAGAACUCCGCAGUUAAGCAUGCUCAGGCUAGAUUAGUACUGGGAUGGGUGAUCACCCAGGAAGUUCUAGUGUUUUACAUGCC
rfam:Picea glauca, whole genome shotgun sequence.